rnacentral:ncRNA from 3 species
AUGAGCCUUUGGGGCAAGGUGAAAAAGAGAAAUCUUUUAAUUCCUGACCGGCGGUAUAGCCCGCGAGCCGUUUUACGGCUGAUUCGGUGAAAUUCCGGAGCCGACAGUAUAGUCUGGAUGGUAAAAGGCGUAA